rnacentral:tRNA from 5 species
GCGCGGAUGGUGUAGCCUGGUCAGCAUCAGGGAUUGUGGAUCCCUUGACCCGAGUUCAAAUCUCGGUCCGCGCC